rnacentral:lncRNA from 1 species
UUACUUCGAACAACAUUCAAAUCUUUUUCAGGAACUUCAUCGGCAAUGGCAUCAAGCAACAUAGGGAAAGGCAUCCAAGGGGACUUGGGAGUCCUCAGAGAAUUUGAAACCUGGUUGCCAGCUUUUUCUGGAGGCCUUCCAUUCAAAACCUGAUUGCAUUCACUUGCCUAAGAUAAAAACAGUUAAAAAAAGUUGCAGCAAUGCAAGCAAAUAAGCAAAUAGCAAAAGAAACAUAAAAACAGGUAUGUUAUCAAAAAAUGGAAAUGAUUUUAGCUAGCCAAAUGGUUAUAUAAGUCCCCCACACAAUAGUCAACUUCCUAGCAGCACAAAAGUUAUUUACAGGAGGAAAUUGCAAAUUGCAACCUAGCUCAACAAAGCUCGAGCCAGUAGAGUACAAAGGUUCACUCUGAAGGCUCAUUAAGGAGUCAGUUGACAGAAGCUAGACUAAUACCCUAUUCAAAAAUGAUAAAGAUAAAUAUUGGUAGCUUCCAGAAAUUUGAAAGCUUUAGUUUACUUUAUAAAUAACACGAAUCAAAUUCAGGCACCACAAAGACCCAGGAUAAAGAAUCAAGUGAGCAAGAGGACUAUGCGCAUUUUUGCAGCCUCAAGAGGAAAGCCAUUAGCUUGCUAUCAGUUAAUUCAACUUGUCCUAAAAGCUGCAUACCAAAUAGAGGACAUCCCCGAUCAGAAGAACCUUGUGAACCAAGCCACAUUUCAGAUCACUCCUCAAGCAUGAAGUGCUCUGUACUGAAAAUCAUCAUAUGAAGGAUCCACAAGGUAGGAUUUUCUUGCCAUCAAGUACAACAUUUUCAUGGAAUAUCCCACGUUUAACCAAUGGGAACACUCCAGUCAAAAGCAUAGAUAUCACUUGUUUGCUAUAUCUGUGAAGUCAAGAUAUGUAACCAACUUCAAAUUCAAAAAAGCUCACCUCAAUGAUCCAUUCACAAGCUCAAUGCGCUUUAUAAUUAUCAGCUUUGGCCACACUAUUUCAUACUUUAACUUGCCAAAUUAAGUUCACCAACUGCUUCAUGCACACCAAAUGAUCAAGAAACUAUCCAACAAUCCAACAUUAACUUGUAGAAAACAUGGGCGGGAAAAAAUAAGUCAUCGGAUCCUCAAAGAUAAACAUAUGUGCCCAUCAGAUUGAUCUUACUCUUUCUUAUAAGUCAUUAACCACAAGUGAAUUGCAACAAAAGAAGAUAAAUCAUCAUCAAACCGCACAAAGUAAGUACUCCAAAUCAUCUCCACUCCCAUUAAGCACUGAAAGCCCAAUAAUAAACCAGGAACUGCUUUUGAUAAUAAUAAUCACGUUACAUGUUUCCAUUACUUAGAAACAAGGGGCCCCAGGGAUUAGAAGAAAGACAAUUACAAUCACUAGUACUCGCAUCACAACCGCAAUUUAUCCCAUCCAGCAAAACAAAACAUGGAUUGUCUAUUUUCUCAUGUCUCAAACAAGUGUUUACUCCAAAUUGGGAAGUUGAGCACAAUACACAGAACAAAAGCACUGCCACAACUACACAUUACAGUACCCAACCUUCACAAUGCCUGUUAUUGGUGCCAACAUCAAACUGCCAGUUAGCAAAUGUUUACCACAUGAUACACAGGCACAAACUUACAUCAUAUGUCAGGCCCAUAAGACUUCACUUCAUCCUUGCACGUGUCCUAGCAUUUCAAGUGGGCAAAAAGCACACAUGAAGAAACUUGGUCCUGCUGUACAUUCAAGACCAUUCCAUAUUGCCCCCAGAGAGAAACAAACUUGACAUGAAAUGUCUACGACAAACAAUUUUCCCCUUGCUAAAACAACUUCAGCCCAACAUGGACAGAAGUUCAACAAUUGAGAAACUGAUCAAUUUUAUUCACCUUACGCCCACUUUAUUUAAACAAACUCUCAUCUUCGCUCUAGUAGAAAAUAAGUGGUGAAAGGUAAUGCCCUAUAACUGUUACAGUCACUUCAGUACAAAACCUAGAAGCGCCAGGCAAUAAACUAGUAGUUUUCGUCCAAAAGUGGAGAGCAGGCUUCAAAUACCUGAAGUACUUGAAACAGCCAAGGAAAGAAAAAUGAACCCAAAAAAAAAAGAUUUAUAUACCUGAAGUACUUACCAGAUCAGUUGUAGACGAGUCCAUGUUUACCUGCCCUUCAGGUACUUGAUGACAAAUGCUAGUCCCUUUUAAAUCAAUCUUUCCCUCAGUUUUAGCCAAAACUCCUGUAACACAAAAACAAAAGUAACCACUACUACUAGUUAAUGCUUGGAUAAGGUAACUAGCACCUUGCACACAGUUCAAGAUAGGAAUUUUUAGUUUGACCGUUCAUGCUUCAGCUGCAAGUUUUAGAAUCAGCGACUACAAAAAACUGAUUUAACUUCAUAUUCCUUCACAUUUGAGCAAUAUCACUAAUACAAAUGUAUUAUAUACAAUCCAACCAUCUGAAUAAAUCAAGCCUAAGCCUAAGCCUAAUGAAAAAACUUUCAACUAAGGAUGCAACAUGCAUGUUUGAGACUAUAUUAAUUACAAAACUAUUAAGGGGUAAAUCAUCACCUUCAGCAUCAGAAGAAAUCUUGAAACUGAUAGCAUAUUCUGGGUAGAUAUGAGAAUUUGCAUUCAUGUUCCAUACUACAUAAUGGCUUGGGUUUUGAAAAUCAUCCAUUCCACUAUCAAAGUCCUCGCUACUGGGAUGGAACUGUUCUGAUCCAGGAUGAACAAGCUCUGUGUUUCCCAUUAUUACACGACAAAAUACCAUAUGUCGUACACCAUUUUCGUCAACAUCAGAAUAAUUUGCACUGUGAAAAAAAAAAGAAGGCUGAAACCUCACUGAAAAUGCAUCAAGGAUGAAAGUAUGAUUAUGAUUUACGGAAGAAACCAGAAGUUGAUAUAGCAAAUGUGAAGCCAUGCAGAAACGAGCUGCUAGGUUCUUUACCCAUUACUGCAAAAGCUAGCUAUGCCUAAAAUACAUGUUGCACAGACCGAAUACAACGAUGCAAUUAUUCCUAUUUCAAAAUCAAGAUGAAAAGAUGUCGACUGAGGACGAAGUUUUCAAAAUUAUAAUGACAAAAAAACUUUCAGCAAAUAUCAGCAAUCCUCAUAUUAACAUGAAAAGAGCCAGUUGAGUAAAGCUAGGCAGCAAAGGAGUAUAUGAGAGGCCGUAAGCCCACCAAAGCAUCAAAUUCUACUGAGAAAUGAACUAAACAAUAUUCCAUGAAUGAAAUGAAUGGCUACAAACAUAGCAUGAAAAAAUGCUUAAAUCAAUACUUCACCUGAAUUCAAAAAGAUGCAUUUGACUUAUCUACAGUAUGCUUGGUCCAAAAAGUGAAGCCAAGGGGAACAGCGUACAACCAUAGUCCAUAAAAAGCAAGAAAGUGAGCAAUGUUUACCUUGGUAUAAUUUGAGUGGAAUGAGUUGCUAAAUGAAAACAUUUUCCAGCAAACCUACAAGUUCUAACCAACUUUGUUGUAAAAAAAAAAUGCAAUGAAAACAGAAAUUUCUUCUACAUAAAGAUUCUUGACCUAAUCUCUGUCACACUUCUCUUCAAAAGGCGCACAUUUAAUUCCCCCCCUCCUAACACUACUACUUACCUGAACUAGAUAUAAUAAUAAAUGAAAUAGAUGAAAAUAAAAUACGUCAAUCAACAUAAUCAGCAAUAAUGUCAUUUUUACAUCAGAGAUACAAUACCAGAAGUUCAUUAAAAAUCAUUCAGAAGCAGUAUAGGACAAUUCCAAACAAAGAAACCAUUCUCCAAAUCUUGUCACCUUAGCCCCACAACUUCCUUGUCAGUCCAAUAUUGGGGAGUUAAAAGGAAGCAAUGAAAAGUAAAAAACCAACCCCCAUAAUCAACCAUGAUCACAAUAUUGGCAAUGUUCAGUGAUCACUAACACGAACAGUGAAAGAAAAUUCAAACCUGAGCUCAGUGCAGUUUGCAGGGAUAAGGUGAACUCCAAUGCCAUACACAGGCCUAAGUUUUGUUGGCAGCGAAAAGCCAAGGCCAUACUUCAUAAUACUAGCAGCUGUUUCUUUAGAAGAUGGGAGCCAAGCAUAUCUCACAUUUGCGUCCCCGCGACAGCUUUUAGUGAUGGCAACCUGUUUCUUGAAAAGCUCAAAUCGAGAUUCCAUAAAGACGCCUGAGCCACAAUGGAUCUCAAUUAUAUUUGCAUUAUCCUGAAAACAUAUGCCAUUGAAGAAAAAAUCUCUCACAGUAUCAGAAUCUACUUUCUCCAUCUGUUGGUUGUCAACAAGGGUCACAUCAACUUUCUCAUUUGCUUCUCUGACGCUACUGUCUUCAGCUUCUCCAUCAUAACCUUCUCCUCCAAGUUUGUGAUGAACAUGAAUUUCUUUAAGAAGAGCAUUUGAUUCUCCACUGGACUCCCUCAAAUUUGAAAUAUCUGAACCAUUUAUCGCAAUCUCAAGUUGCAACUUGAUGUCACCAGACACCUGAGGUUCUGAGACUAGAUGGUCCUGACUUCUCUUAUUAUAGGAGCAGGCAUGGAAUUCGCCACCAUCAACAAAAGUCUCAGGGAAAAAGCACUUCCCAGCUUCAUCAAUCCAUGCAAUGGGCUGCAGCAGACCAGUCUUUAAAUCCAGUUGGAACAUAUGCAAGAAGUCUAGUGCAAUGCGUUUCUUAUUAAACUGCAACUCAGUCAUUGCCUUCUUUUGUUGAAGAUCUUUCUUAACCAACAUAAGAAUGUCUUUGGGGAAAUCAACCCAU